GGGACUGUAGCUCAGGGGUGAGAGCACUUGCCUAGCAUGUGAGAGGCCCUGGAUUCAAUCCCCAGUACCA
rnacentral:tRNA from 1 species